GCCCUCACUGGUUCAGAUGGAUAGAACGUCUGCCCUGUAAGCAGGAGAUCCCGGGUUCGAGUCCCGGUCGGGGCA